GGGGAUAACCUUGUUUGCACAACGCCUAGCGUGACGUCACUGUGGAUACAAAAGGAAAGGAUUUGCAAAAUCACCGUACAGAUAUCGUCAAAGUAAGUUUUGUAAGACUGCUCGCCAAUAAUCCAUAUAUUCAUAUCUUAUACAAAUUCAAUGCUUACAGCGCAACCACUUAUUAUUGUGCAUUUACAUUUCCCCCCUAUUUUAAUAACACAUUUCGACGCAUGAACGAUCUGCGUUUUUUCUCUCCUAAAUGAAAUAUCAGUGGCGGAUCCAGGGUGGGGGGGGGGGGGGUUCCGGGGGUGCGCACCCCCCCUUUAUUUUUGCCGAUCAAUGCAUUUGUAUCGGGACAUAUGUUUUGCACCCCCCCCCCCCCCCUUUGCCCUGUUUGCCCUGGGUUAGCACCCCCCCCCCCCCCUUUCGAAAAUUCCUGCAUCCGCCCCUGAAUAUUGAGAAUGAAAAUGGAGAAUGUGUCAGAGACAACAACCCGACCAAAGGAUAGACAACAGCCGAAGGCAACCAAUAGGUCUUCAAUCAUGCCAAUGCAGCGAGAAACUCCGGCACCCGGAGGUGUUCUUCAGCUGACCCCUAAAACAAAUAUGUAUAAAAAAAAUAUAUAAUUAAUGGACGACUUGGUUAUAUAAAAGAAACUAAAAUUAAUAUUCAUACUGACUGCAUAUUUUAUACUUCUGAGUUCUUAGAACGAGAUGAUGUUCACUUUUUGUUAUUCAUUAUAAUAUGGGGACGACCUUUUGAUAUGUAAAAAAAAGGGGGGGGGACAGGAAUUUGGAUCAUUUUCAUCCGUUGCUACUAUUUGAUCCUAUUUGUUUAUUUUUGCACUUUUGUACGUAUUUACACUUGUAUGCACAUUAGUCCAGUCGAAAUGUUUCAGUUCUUAUCUAUAGCAUUAAGCCCCAAAUGCACAGAAAAAAGUCCAAUAGAAUCUAACUUGAGGAAAACUCAAAUUUUGCAUUUAAAACUUAUGGAAAUUAGCAUUUGAAAGGGAGUUUUUUUUUGGUCAGUUUUUGGUUGAUUUUCUUAAAACUCAUGGAAAAUAUGAUAUUUUGAUAGGGUUAUAAGUUCUUUUUUUAUUAUAUUAUAUAUUCUUCUGCUCAUAAAAUGUACAAAACCGAAGUGUUAUGUGUAUUUUCAUGCACAUUUUCAUUAAAGAAAUUGCAAAUUUAUGGCUAUGUCAAAUUUUAAAGUAUAAGGCAUUCAGGAAAAACUUUGAAACGUUUAUUCUCUAUUUUCAGACACUGUAUGGCAUAUUUUAAAGUAAAUCUUCGAAACGUUUAUCCUCUUUUUCAGACAAUAUAUGGCAUGGAGUACAACUUUGAAACGUUAAAUCUCUAUUUUCAGAAUUCAGUUUAAUUUUCAAAUGUUAAUCUUCAAUUUUCAGACACUAUAUGGCAUGCUGAAUAAUUUUGAAUGUUUAUUCUUUAUUCCCAGACACGUUAUGGCAUGCAGACUCCAGUAUAACGUUACUAAAACGUUUACCCUCUACUUUUUCAGACAAUAUAAGGCAUGCAGGAAAAACUUUGAAACGUGUAUCCUCUAUUUUCAGACACUAUAUGGCAUGCAGCAAGACUUUGAAAAGUUUAUUCUCUAUUUUCAGACACUGUUACGGCAUGCAGCAAGACUAACCUUUAUCCUCUAUUUUCAGACAGUAUAAGGCAUUCAGGAAAAACUUUGAAACUUUUAUCCUCUAUUUUCAGACACUAUAUGGCAUGCAGCAAGACUUUGAAAAGUUUAUUCUCUAUUUUCAGACACUGUUACGGCAUGCAGCAAGACUAACCUUUAUCCUCUAUUUUCAGACAGUAUAAGGCAUUCAGGAAAAACUUUGAAACUUUAAUCAUAAUCCUCUAUUUUCAGACACUGUACGGCAUGGAGUAAAUCUUCGAAAUGUUUAUCCUCUUUUUCAGACAAUAUAUGGCAUGGAGUACAAACUUGAAACGUUUAAUCUCUAUUUUCAGACACUAAAUGGUAUGCAGUAAAAUUUUGAAAAGUUUGUCUUCUGUUUUUAGACAAUAUAUUGCAUUCAGUAUAAUUUUGAAAUGUUUAUCUUCAAUUUUCAGACACUAUAUCAUAUGCCAUGCUGAAUAAGGCCAUACUUAAAAAUAUUUUGGUUUACCCAAACCCUUCCCAAAGGUUGAGACAGUGGGUAGGUAGGUAGGCAUUCUUUUUUUUUUUUUUUUAAAGAAAUUGAAGUAUCAGAUGUUUAUUAGUAUUCAUGCCCAUUUGAUUAAAAAAAACUUCUUCAAAUCAUGACAAUAAAAGAAUUUGAGUAGGCAGCUUUUUUCUGGGUAGGUAGCGUUUGGGCAAACAAACCUAUUAUUUAUUAUGGCCUUAUUUUGAAAUGUUUAUACUUUAUUCCCAGACACUAUAUGGCAUGCAGUAAACUUUGAAAGGUUUAUCCUUUAUUUUUAUACACUGUAUGGCAUGCAGCAAGACUUGGAAACGUUUAUCCCCUAUUUUUCGUACACUGUAUGGCAUGCAGUAAAACUUUGAAAUGUCCCAUCUUUCAGAUACUAUAUCAAAUGACAUGCAGACAGUAUAACUUUGAAACUGUAGUCUGUAUGGCAUGCAGCAAGACUUUGAAUGAAACGUUUAUCAUCUAUUUUCAGACACUGUUUGGCAUGCAGUAAAACUUUAAAAUGUUUGUCUUCUUUUUUUCAGACAAUAUAUGACAUGCAGUAAAACUUUGAAAUGUCUCAUUUUUCAGAUACCAUAUCAUAUGAAAAGCAGGCAGUAUAACUUUGAAACAUUUUACUUUAUUUUCAGACACUGUAUGGCAUGCAGCAAGACUUUGAAACGUUUAUAUUCAAUUUUCAGACAUAACUUUGAAACGUUUAUUCUCUAUUUUCAGACACUGUUACGGCAUGCAGCAAGACAAACCUUUAUCCUCUGUUUUCAGACAGUAUAAGGCAUUCAGGAAAAUCUUUGAAACUUUUAUCCUAUAUUUUCAGACACUGUACGGUAUGGAGUAGAUCUUCGAAACGAUUGUCCUCUUUUUUUCAGACAAUAUAUGGCAUGGAGUACAACUUUGAAACGUUUAAUAUCUAUUUUCAGACACUAUAUGGUAUGCAGAAAAUUUUGAAAGUUUAUCUUCUUUUUUCAGACAAUAUAUAGCAUUCAGUAUAAUUUUGAUAUGUUUAUCUUCAAUUUUCAGACACUAUCAUAUGCCAUGCUGAAUAAUUUUGAAAUGUUUAUACUUUAUUCCCAGACACUAUAUGGCAUGCAGUAAACUUUGAAAGGUUUAAUAUCCUCUAUUUUCAGACACUGUAUGGCAUGCAGCAAGACUUUGAAACGUUUAUCACCUAUUUUUCAUACACUGUAUGGCAUGCAGUAAAACUUUGAAAUGUCCCAUCUUUCAGAUACUAUAUCAUAUGAAAUGAAGACAGUAUAACUUUGAAACAUUUAACUCUAUUUUCAGACAUUGUAUGGCAUGCAGCAAGACUUUGAAACGUUUUUCCUCUAUUUUCAGACACUGUAUGGCAUGCAGCAAGACUUUGAAACGUUUAUAUUCAAUUUUCAGACAGUAUAACUUUGAAACGUUUAUUCUCUAUUUUCAGACACUGUUACGGCAUGCAGCAAGACUAACGUUUAUCCUCUAUUUUCAGACAGUAUAUGGCAUGCAGUAAAUCUUCGAAACGAUUAUCCUCUUUUUUUCAGACAAUAUAUGGCAUGGAGUACAACUUUGAAACGUUUAAUCUCUAUUUUCAGACACUAUAUGGUAUGCAGAAAAUUUUGAAAAGUUUAUCUUCUAUUUUCAGACAAUAUAUAGCAUUCAGUAUAAUUUUGAAAUGUUUAUCUUCAAUUUUCAGACACUAUAUGGCAUGCUGAAUAAUUUUGAAUGUUUAUUCUUUAUUCCCAGACACUUUAUGGCAUGCAGACUCCAGUAUAACGUUACUAAAACGUUUACCCUCUACUUUUUUAGACAAUAAUUUUUUUUAUAAGGCAUGCAGGAAAAACUUUGAAACGUUUAUUCUCUAUUUUCAGACACUAUUUUCUAUUUAGUAUUUAUAAUAAUAAAUAUGGCAUACACUUUACAGUUAAACUAUAUAAUCUUUAUCCUCAAUUCAGACAGUAUAUGGAAUGCAGUAUAGCUUUGAAACGUUUAUCUUCAAUUUCCAGACACUAUAUAUCAUUAUGGCAUGCAGUAAAACUCUAAGUACCCUGCAGACACUAUAUGACAUAAACUGCAGUAUGAGUAAAACUCUGAAACAUUUAUCCUUUAUUUUUCAGACAAUAUAACAAAGACAGGACCACGUGACAGGAAAUCAUCAUGGCACGUGUUGCUAUGAACAUUCUUCUGGUGAUUUGUACGGUACUUAUUGUGGAAGCCAGUAG
rnacentral:lncRNA from 1 species